rnacentral:rRNA from 1 species
CCUACUAUAAGACUGGGAUAACUUCGGGAAACCGGAGCUAAUACCGGAUAAUAUUUUGAACCGCAUGGUUCAAAAGUGAAAGACGGUCUUGCUGUCACUUAUAGAUGGAUCCGCGCUGCAUUAGCUAGUUGGUAAGGUAACGGCUUACCAAGGCAACGAUGCAUAGCCGACCUGAGAGGGUGAUCGGCCACACUGGAACUGAGACACGGUCCAG